rnacentral:sRNA from 1 species
AAUUAUCUAGGUAAUGAGUUAUCCCAACUGACUGUUCAGGGUCAGUUACAGAUCAAACUCCUUGUUUUACUUUUCUCCCCCCUUCUCACUACUGCAAUUGAGUAGUAUUAA